AUUGAACGCUGGCGGCAUGCCUAACACAUGCAAGUCGAACGAGUGGCGGACGGGUGAGUAAUGUCUGGGAAACUGCCUGAUGGAGGGGGAUAACUACUGGAAACGGUAGCUAAUACCGCAUACCAUCGGAUGUGCCUAGAUGGGAUUAGCUACUAGGUGGGGUAAAGGUGCACCUGGGCGACGAUCCCUAGCUGGUCUGAGAGGAUGACCAGCCACACUGGAACUGAGACACGGGCCAGACUCCUAAGCGAGGCAGCAGUGGGGAAGAGUGCGCAAUGGGCGCAAGCCUGAAGGAGCCAUGCCGCGUGUAUGAAGAAGGCCUGCGGGUUGUAAAGUACUUUCAGUGGGGAGGCGGUACCCGCAGAAGAAGCACCGGCUAACUCCGUGCCAGCAGCCGCGGUAAUAC
rnacentral:rRNA from 1 species